rnacentral:rRNA from 1 species
UACGAAGGGGGCUAGCGUUGCUCGGAAUUACUGGGCGUAAAGGGCGCGUAGGCGGAUAUUUAAGUCGGGGGUGAAAGCCCAGGGCUCAACCCUGGAAUAGCCUUCGAUACUGGAUAUCUUGAGUUCGGGAGAGGUGAGUGGAACUCCGAGUGUAGAGGUGAAAUUCGUAGAUAUUCGGAAGAACACCAGUGGCGAAGGCGGCAUACUGGACCACAUCUGACGCUGAGGCGCGAAAGCCAGGGGAGCAAACGGG